ACUCAAAGGAAUUGACGGGGGCCCGCACAAGCAGCGGAGCGUGUGGUUUAAUUCGAUGCAACGCGCAGAACCUUACCCAGACUUGACAUGUAACUGUAAGCCGGGGAAACCCGGCCCCCUUCGGGCGGUUACACAGAUGUUGCAUGGCUGUCGUCAGCUCGUGUCGUGAGAUGUUGGGUUAAGUCCCGCAACGAGCGCAACCCUCGUGUGAUGUUGCACAUCAUCGCAGACUGCCGGUACAAGCCGGAGGAAGGUGGGGAUGACGUCAAGUCCGCAUGGCUCUUACGUCUGGGGCUACACACACGCUACAAUGGUCAGGACAGAGCGCAGCCACGGGGCGACCCGGAGCGAAUCGCAAAACCUGGUCUCAGUUCGGAUGGCAGGCUGCAACUCGCCUGCCUGAAGUCGGAGUUGCUAGUAACCGCGUGUCAGCAUAGCGCGGUGAAUAUGUUCCCGGGCCUUGCACACACCGCCCGU
rnacentral:rRNA from 1 species